rnacentral:rRNA from 1 species
UAGGGAAUCUUCGGCAAUGGGGGCAACCCUGACCGAGCAACGCCGCGUGAGUGAAGAAGGUUUUCGGAUCGUAAAGCUCUGUUGUAAGAGAAGAACGUGUGUGAGAGUGGGAAGUUCACACAGUGACGGUAACUUACCAGAAAGGGACGGCUAACUACGUGCCAGCAGCCGCGGUAAUACGUAGGUCCCGAGCGUUGUCCGGAUUUAUUGGGCGUAAAGCGAGCGCAGGCGGUUUAAUAAGUCUGAAGUUAAAGGCAGUGGCUUAACCAUUGUUCGCUUUGGAAACUGUUAAACUUGAGUGCAGAAGGGGAGAGUGGAAUUCCAUGUGUAGCGGUGAAAUGCGUAGAUAUAUGGAGGAACACCGGUGGCGAAAGCGGCUCUCUGGUCUGUAACUGACGCUGAGGCUCGAAAGCGUGGGGAGCAAACAGG